rnacentral:tRNA from 1 species
GCCGGCGUAGCUCAGGGGUAGAGCAACUGAUUCGUAAUCAGUAGGUCGUUGGUUCAAUUCCGACCGCCGGCACCA